CCUACGGGAGGCAGCAGUGAGGAAUAUUGGUCAAUGGGCGGAAGCCUGAACCAGCCAAGUAGCGUGCGGGAUGAAGGCCCUACGGGUCGUAAACCGCUUUUGCACGGGGAUAACACCCUCCACUUGUGGAGGUCUGCAGGUACCGUGCGAAUAAGGGCCGGCUAAUUCCGUGCCAGCAGCCGCGGUAAUACGGAGGGCCCGAGCGUUAUCCGGGUUCAUUGGGCUUAACGGGGGCGUAGGCGGGGGUUCAAGUCAGUGGGAAAAUCGCGCGGCUCAACCGCGCCCCGCAGUUGAAACUGGACGCCUUGAGUUCACAACAGGCAGGCGGAAUUCGUGGUGUAGCGGUGAAAUGCAUAGAUAUCACGAGGAACCCCGAUGGCGAAGGCAGCCUGCCGGGGUGCGACUGACGCUGAGGCUCGAAGGUGCGGGUAUCAAACAGGAUUAGAUACCCCAGUAGUC
rnacentral:rRNA from 1 species